ACUCCUACGGGAGGCAGCAGUGGGGAAUAUUUCACAAUGGGCGCAAGCCUGAUGCAGCCAUGCCGCGUGUAUGAAGAAGGGCCUUCGGGUUGUAAAGUACUUUCAGCAGUGAGGAAGGUGGGUAUGUUAAUAGCAUACUCAUUUGACGUUAGCUGCAGAAGAAGCACCGGCUAACUCCGUGCCAGCAGCCGCGGUAAUACGGAGGGUGCGAGCGUUAAUCGGAAUUACUGGGCGUAAAGCGCAUGCAGGUGGUUUGUUAAGUCAGAUGUGAAAGCCCGGGGCUCAACCUCGGAAUUGCAUUUGAAACUGGCAAACUAGAGUACUGUAGAGGGGGGUAGAAUUUCAGGUGUAGCGGUGAAAUGCGUAGAGAUCUGAAGGAAUACCGGUGGCGAAGGCGGCCCCCUGGACAGAUACUGACACUCAGAUGCGAAAGCGUGGGAGCAAACAGGAUUAGAUACCCUGGUAAGGCGUAG
rnacentral:rRNA from 1 species